GCGCGCAAUAUCAGUGAUUUUUUACACUAGUCAAACACGUUCUAUACGCGCGCUAACAGCUCCAAGCAAGCGCGAAUAAUUGUUGCAAUUUAGAAGAUGUAACAAAACGUUACUGUACUGAUGAUUGACACAGUAAGAUACACUGAAAAAGAUGCAUGCAAAAGAUUCACACAUAACAUAUUAUAAAUGAAUAAGACAUACGAUAAUCGACGUUAAUAAUUAAAGAAGCUAUACAUUGUAAAACGUUAAUAAAAACUAUAAAACUAUAUAUCAGUGAAAACUUUAAAAAAGACUUUGAACAACAGUUUUGGUUUCAAAUUCAGUUGUAAAAUUUAUAUAAUUACUUUAGUAAUUUUAUAAAUUAAUUAGCAUCUUGACUGAAGCAUGUGACAUGUGAUACGUUAUACAUUAUUGCUGUAAAUUUUCGAUGAUUAGUAACAAUUCAGUUCUAAACAAUGGAUGAUUAAUAAGUCCGCCGCCCACGAGAAUACAUGAAUUACGUCAUUGUUCGUCGUGUCUCGUCAGGUAUAGUAAAUACCGCAGUUAAAGCACGUAAGCCAAACGAUUGGGUUUUCCUGACUGACACCAAAUUUUGUCGCUCGGCUGAGCUGCACAGGUAAUAGGCAUCAACCAAAUCAUUGUUUUUUUGCGUCAUGUAUCUUUCUGAGCAUCAAGUUAUUAAUUAAACCGUCAAUUAUUAAAUCAUUGAUUGAUAUGAUAAAAGCUGACACAAACUUGCCUUGGUUGUAUCAUGGGGAUUCCCCGAAGUUAAAAUGCACGAUUAGUCCCUCAUGGACCAGUUGACAUGAAAUUGCAACUUGAAUUAAAGAUUAGAAAGUUAUUAGCUGAAAAACUCACUCAUAUAGGAAUCAAGCAGCUCAUUCACGUUCGUCAUUCGUCGCAUAUUAUGACGCAGAUGGAAAUAACGAACUACUAUCACAAAGUGAAGAUCGGACGCCCAUCACGUAUACGAACAUCUAUGUGCGCUUAUGAUUAGCAACGAGGCCGACCGUAUUAUCGUCAAAGAUAAUUGUUUAUUUUCCGGUCGCUUGCAAAUCUACUUGGAACGAAAUCGAGCUCCGUUUGAUUAUUCAACUAAUUCUGAGAGUUUUGGGCGUUACCCAAAGAUUUCUACAAGCAGUUGUUAAUUCAUCGAUGGCCAGUCAUUGAACCUGACCUUGAAGAACCGGAACGAUACAGGUUUCGCAAGAAGCUGGAAGAUAGAAUCUGUGAAAUAGCAUCGUGUUUGUGACUGGUUAAAUCGACUACUGCUUCGUGCUAAUUGAUUGACUGCAAGCAUUACUAAUUUACAAUAACUGAUCCCUGGGCUAAAUGUAAGCAAUAUUAUUUAAUAAUUUUCCAAAAUAUUCGACGAAAUAUCAUCUGUAAAGCACUUUAAAUUUUUAUAAAAGAUUAUAAUGUUAUAAAGAUGUUAAUACUGUAAAAAACCGUAGCAGCCAAGUUUAAACAUUACAUAGGAUCAAACUUUUAAUUUAAACUUUAAGAUUAAAUGUCUUGCAAAAAAAUUAAAUAUUUUAACUAUAUAA